CAAUCUUUAUGGGAUUCAAACCCACAAUCUUUGGCUCCAGAGGCCAACGUCUUAUCCGUUGGGCCACAGGAUC
rnacentral:tRNA from 1 species